rnacentral:rRNA from 1 species
UACAGAGGUCCCGAGCGUUGUUCGGAUUCACUGGGCGUAAAGGGUGCGCAGGUGGCAUUGCAAGUUUGAUGUGAAAUCUCCGGGCUUAACCCGGAAAAGGCAUUGAAUACUGCGGUGCUGGAGGUUUGGAGGGGGGACUGGAAUUCUCGGUGUAGCAGUGAAAUGCGUAGAUAUCGAGAGGAACACCAGUGGCGAAGGCGGCACUCUGGGCCGGUACUGACACUGAGGAGCGAAAGCGUGGGUAGCAAACAGG